CUCACUAGAAACCAGUGACAUCUCUAAGGGACUUCAUACCUCAGUAAUAUGACCACACCUCCCAAAAGAAGAAGACAAUGGAUGAGACUUUAAUAGAAUGCAGCAGCACUUAAAGAAACUCGUCAGCAGGCUCCUGGCUUCAGAGCGAAGUGACCUAAAUGGAUUCCCAGCUGAGGGUUUUAGGAUCAUUCUAGGGAUGAAUUAUUUAUCGCGCUGAGGCGAGUUCCCGAGCACUUAAAGUUAACCCUUCUGGAGGGCGCAGAGUUACAGACAACACGAUUCAAAAAAAGAAACAUACGGAGGAGUUGCGUACCAGAUUGUCAUUUGGCGUUCGGAAACAUCUUUUUAAUACAUUUAAGGCUUAAUCGAGUUCCAUCUUCAGGCUUCCCCAUAGACUGCGUCAAAGGAGGAUCCUCUGCUUCCCAGGAGAGCUGCUCGUCCUGCGCGUUUACAGAGGCACUCAGAAUCUGCCACAUGACCCGAUUUGCGACAAUGCUACGAUGUAUCAGCAGUUUUACGCCGUCUGACGGAAACGAGGAGGCAGCAGCGGGCGUCCCUACACUCAGCGCACUACAAUCCCCGUUAAGCUUUGCGGCGACGACGGAGCCCAGGUUGUCAUGGCACCGGACGGCCGCUUGAUGAUGACGUCACCUGAUAGCGCCGAACGACGGCUCCAUUUGGCGCUUGUUGCAUACACGCAAGGGGUUUCUACACUAUAAAGGAAAGCAUACAGUAGAUGUCAGUGAAGUGAAGACCCAACGAGAGCUGUAGAUUUCAUGUACGACUAUCAUAGCAAUAAAACAAUCGCGAAAAACUAUGCACAGUGUAUAACCAAACAAAAAUCUACACCUCCAAGUUGUCGCACUGUUCCCGAAAGUGGCUACUGUAUAUAUGUGUUAUUGAACUUUCCCUUCUGACUCUACAGAUAUACUGCGCUCUACUUACUGCAAGUUUGGGGCAGAUGCAACAAGCAGUGAAUACAAGUCUAGAUUUCCUCCAAGGACUGGUAAUGAUGGAAAACUUAUGAAAUACAAAUAAAGUGUCCAAUGACUUGCGGCUUUGCUCCAGUACAGUCAGUACAAU